AAUCCACCUGUCCAAUUGACGCACGACCUUACCUCACAUGGCUCGAGUCUUUUCUGCAUAUUCAUGCUCGAAGAUGGAUCACUCGUUUCACAUUUGGUCUUAGUCCACCUCAUAUCUUUAUUGCCUAGUCAAUUGCACUUGUUCAAAAACCUCUUUCACUCUUUCUCCAUUUCCUUCUCCUUUUCAAUGUGCCAAACCAAAACGACUCUCCUCUGGCACUGAUCCUACAACUUCCCUGAUCAUUUCCAAGCCGCCUGGAACAAACACUACGUGGAUGCACCAUAUAUCAGCAUCAUGGACCUAUCUAAUGAUCGUAGCCACUGUUGCGGCGAUGGGUAUCGUUCCAUUUCAAAUGGAAACAGAAUGAUUACUGAGAUGGAUUUCUUUGCUGAUGGGAAUUGUCCCAAGCAAGAAACUAAGCUGGCUGCAAUUGUCAAGACAGAGGCCAUAUAUGAUGGGGUAGGGCAACAGGAUGAAGAAGAUGUAAAUACUGGUUUGAAUCUUUUAACGGGAAGCAGUACUAGUAGUGAUCAUAAAUCCAUGGUGGAAGAUGGAGCAUCUCAAAACAAGGCAUUUUACAAUAAAAGAAAGAAAGAGCUCGAACUUUUGCACUCAAAAAUAAACCACAUGAACGCAGAGAAUCAACGUUUAAAAGGCAUACUUCAUCAGGUGAACAACAACUACUAUAUCCUGCAGAUGCACCUUUUUACACUCAUGCAGCAGCACCAGAAUCAGAACACUGUAACUGUGAAAAAUGAGGUGAAACAUGGAGCGGUAGAAGACAGACACGAUGAGGGAUCCAUAACAGCAAGGCAAAUCAUGGAUCUGCGUAAAGCUGAAAUGGGCGAAGAUCGUUCACAAUCUGAAGAAAGAUCUCGGGAUUGCCCAAUAUCUCCUAAUAUAUUUGAGUCAAUGGAGUAUAAUAAGUCACCCAUGAUUAGUUGUAGCUCUAUUACUGGAGUUGUUCCUGUUAUUGAUCAUUUGAAAAAGAGUGCUGAUGGUGGAAUAAGAGAUCACGAGUCUCCAGAAGAAGCAUUUCAGGGAUGGGUUCCAAACAAAAUCCCCAAGUUUGAUACUUCAAGAGACGUCGAUGAUGAAGGGAAAGCAGAACCCUUGUCUAUAAUUAGAAAAGCCCGUGUCUCAGUUCGAUCAAGAUCCGAGUCAUCAACGAUCUCUGAUGGAUGCCAAUGGAGAAAAUAUGGGCAGAAAUUAGCUAAAGGUAGCCCAUGCCCUCGAUCUUAUUAUCGAUGCACUAUGGCAUCUGGAUGCCCAGUUCGCAAACAGGUUCAACGGUGCGCAGAGGACCAAGCAGUACUUAUAACAACAUAUGAAGGUCAUCACAACCAUCCACUCCCUCCAGCCGCAAUGGCCGUGGCAUCUACCACAUCAGCUGCAGCAUCAAUGCUACUUUCAGGGUCUAUGCCAAGUCCUGAUGAGUUAAUGAACACUGAGUUAUUAGCAAAAACUUUAGCUUGCCCACCAGGCUUCGCAACACUUUCAGCUUCAGCUCCAUUUCCUACUGUAACACUGGACAUCACUCGCCCUCCAGUUCCUAAUCCCUCACAGAUACUCCAAGGCCAUUUCAUGUCUGCGUCUCAUGUUUCCGCGCAAGCCCUUUAUAACAAAGCUGAAAUUUCAGAUCUUUUAAACCCUCAUCAGGGAAUGGAGCUGCCUCAAAUGAUACCUCCGUUGGCGAACAGAACAGUUAGUGCAGUAACUGCUGCUAUCACUUCAGACCCUAACUUUACUGCCGCUCUAGUUGCAGCAGUAAGUUCCAUCAUUGGCAAUGUUCAAGCUAAAUACGAUCAGCUUAAUUAGCCCCACAUUGAAGAACGGUAUCGACAACAGCACAUGAAAGAGCAUAAAUAGCCAACCAGCUUAAUUAGCUCAAUACGAUCACAGCGUAACAAAAAGAAGUGCAUAAAUAUUUGUAUUGAACGACAGUGAAAGUACGAUGAGGAAUUUAUCUGUCAGUAUGAAUGUGAAGGUGUUUAGUUAAAAUUUACUUCUCCCUUUUGGCCUAAAAGAAGAGAUCAUGGGAUCCGAUUUACUUGUCAA